UAUCACAAUGUCAUCAUCUUG
rnacentral:miRNA from 1 species